rnacentral:rRNA from 1 species
GAUGAACGCUGGCGGCGUGCUUAACACAUGCAAGUCGAACGGAAAGGCCUCUGCUUGCAGGGGUACUCGAGUGGCGAACGGGUGAGUAACACGUGGGUGAUCUGCCCUGCACUUCGGGAUAAGCCUGGGAAACUGGGUCUAAUACCGGAUAGGACAAUGGUUUGGAUGCUGUUGUGGAAAGUUUUUCGGUGUGGGAUGAGCUCGCGGCCUAUCAGCUUGUUGGUGGGGUAAUGGGCUACCAAGGGGUCGACGGGGAGCCGGCCUGAGAGGGUGGACGGCCCCCUUGGGCCUGGGAUACGGCCCACACUCCUUCGGGGGGCCGCAGUGGGGAAUAUUGCACAAUGGGCGCCCGCCUGAUUGAGCGACGCCGCGUGGGGGAUGACGGCCUUCGGGUUGUAAACUCCUUUCGCUAGGGACGAAGCGUUUUUGUGACGGUACCUGGAGAAGAAGCACCGGCUAACUACGUG